rnacentral:antisense_RNA from 1 species
AAUGGGCAUCCCACCCCAGCACUUUCUAGGAAGGAGGGCAGCAUUUUGAAGGGCUGGAAGUAGAGGAAGGAGGUUGCGGGUAGAAGACUCCAUACUUUCUGUGAUGCCUAUUCCUUAGUCAGAGGCGUGGCUUGCCUGGGCCCCUGGGUGCAGCUGCACAGAUUCAAGCAGCCUGAAGGAAAGGUGACUGACAGCUAAUGAUCUGAAAAGAACUUGUCUCAACUCAACGUCAUUCCUGGCAUUAUCGAACAAAGCAAUAAACCUCACAGAAUGGAAGCUACAGUGUCCAGGGCCAGCUCUGCUAAGGUAACCAAAGACAGAGAAGGAGGCAAAAGUGACAGAAGAAGCUCAUGGGAAACCAACAGAAAUGUAAUGGCUUUGGCAGAAAUGCAAUUAUCAAUUGGGAGCUUGAGAUGAAUGUUUUCUCAGUAUCCUAUGCUGAAAACAGGUAGAUACUAAUAUCGAUCUUCAAGGGAGGGCUGUUGAGUUUUGAAUAAGACAAAAACAUGGAAGCAAUCAGCACCAUGCUGGAAUCAAGGCUAUCUGUAAUCACAGGGCUAUUUGAAAAAGAGAAGAAAAGGUGUCUUGAAAUUCAACCAACAUGUUUCAAUUAUUUGCUCCUAAGAACAACAGAAGUUUCAACAUUCUGCCAACAAAGUAACUCCUGGAAGAUUGGCACAGAAGAAGGCACAAGGAAGUCAGUGAUAAAAAUAUUUAAGCAGCUUUGUCUGCCUUAGACCUUCCAACUAAAAGUACAGCAUGUGGAAUGGAAUGCUAAUAUGAGGAU